GUGUCAAUCAAAAUAUGUGCAAGGUAUUUGCAUGUAGUAUACAUACCCUAUAAAUCUGGGUUGGCUUCGGUAUUUUAUUGGGUGAGUAUAUAGACUAUGUUCUGGACCACGGGUUUGGUCUGAUUCUGAUUUCUCAAGCACUCUUUUGCGUACUGUUGGGCACUCUUGUAUAUGCGACAAAUGUUAUUGAGACAAUAAAAGAUCCGUCUCCACAAUCCUUACAACAGUGCUAGUAAAUAUUAUCGCGUCCUACUAUCGAAGCUUGGGAGGAGCCUGAGGUGCGAGUCUUAAUCUCUUGUUCAGUUAGUUCAGUUUAGUAGGUGUUGAUCUGCGAUGCGGAACCGGGGGCCUAGAGUUGCCCACUACUGCAGAAAAGAUGCGGAUGUUCCUUU
rnacentral:lncRNA from 1 species